AAACCGACUCAGGUGGACGGGGUGAAUAUCCCAAGGCGCGUGAGAGAACCCUGGUUAAGGAACUCUGCAAAUUGACACCGUAACUUCGGGAGAAGGUGUGCCGCUGGCGGUUAGUGACUUCGCGUCACGAAGCUGUUGGUGGUCGCAGUGAAAUGGCGGUUGUGACUGUUUACUAAAAACACAGGACUCUGCGAAGUCGUAAGACGACGUAUAGGGUCUGAUGCCUGCCCGGUGCUGGAAGGUUAAGGGGAUAUGUCAGAGCAAUCGAAGCAUUGAACCGAAGCCCCAGUAAACGGCGGCCGUAACGAUAACGGUCCUAAGGUAGCGAAAUUCCUUGUCGGGUAAGUUCCGACCUGCACGAGGGCAUAACAACAUCCGCACUGUCUCGACCAGGGACUCAGCGAAAUUACAUUGGGGGUGAAGAUGCCCUCUACCCGCGGAAAGACGGAAAGACCCCAUGAACCUUUACUGCAACUUGGCAGUGAUUUUCGGGUUGUUCUGCGUAGGAUAGGUGGUAGGCUUUGAAGUCGGGCUUCCGGGUUCGACAGAGCCAACGUUGAAAUACCACCCUGAAUAAUCUGGAAAUCUAACCUGCGCCCAUGAUCUGGGCGAGGGACACUGCCUGGUGGGCAGUUUGACUGGGGCGGUCGCCUCCUAAAUUGUAACGGAGGCGUGCGACGGUUCCCUCAGGCUGAUUGGAAACCAGCCGUAGAGUGCAAACGCAUAAGGGAGCUUUACUGCGAGACUGACAAGUCGAACAGUUGCGAAAGCAGGUGUUAGUGAUCCGGUGGUACCACAUGGAAGGGCCAUCGCUCAUCGGAUAAAAGGUACUCUGGGGAUAACAGGCUGAUCGCGCCUGAGAGUUCACAUCGGCGGCGCGGUUUGGCACCUCGAUGUCGGCUCAUCGCAUCCUGGGGCUGGAGCAGGUCCCAAGGGUUUGGCUGUUCGCCAAUUAAAGCGGUACGCGAGCUGGGUUUAAAACGUCGUGAGACAGUUUGGUCCCUAUCUUCCGUGGGCGCAGGACACUUGCGAGGAGCUAUCCAUAGUACGAGAGGACCUGGAUGGACGAACCUCUGGUGCUCCGGUUGUCACGCCAGUGGCAUAGCCGGGUAGCCAUGUUCGGAACAGAUAACCGCUGAAGGCAUAUAAGCGGGAAGCUGGCCUCAAGACUAGGUGUCCCUGACGCAAGUCACUAAAGGCCCCUCGAAGACUACGAGGUUGAUAGGCUAGGUGUGGAAGCACAGCGAUGUGCGGAGCUAACUAGUACUAAUAGGCCGUGCGACUUGACCUC
rnacentral:rRNA from 1 species